CCUACGGGAGGCAGCAGUGGGGAAUUUUGGACAAUGGGCGAAAGCCUGAUCCAGCAAUGCCGCGUGAGUGAAGAAGGCCUUCGGGUUGUAAAGCUCUUUUGUCAGGGAAGAAACGGUGAGAGCUAAUAUCUCUUGCUAAUGACGGUACCUGAAGAAUAAGCACCGGCUAACUACGUGCCAGCAGCCGCGGUAAUACGUAGGGUGCAAGCGUUAAUCGGAAUUACUGGGCGUAAAGCGUGCGCAGGCGGUUUUGUAAGUCUGAUGUGAAAUCCCCGGGCUCAACCUGGGAAUUGCAUUGGAGACUGCAAGGCUAGAAUCUGGCAGAGGGGGGUAGAAUUCCACGUGUAGCAGUGAAAUGCGUAGAUAUGUGGAGGAACACCGAUGGCGAAGGCAGCCCCCUGGGUCAAGAUUGACGCUCAUGCACGAAAGCGUGGGGAGCAAACAGGAUUAGAUACCCUGGUAGUCCACGCCCUAAACGAUGUCUACUAGUUGUCGGGUCUUAAUUGACUUGGUAACGCAGCUAACGCGUGAAGUAGACCGCCUGGGGAGUACGGUGCAAGNUUAAAACUCAAAGGAUUGACCGGNGUAGAGAGNGCGAGGACGACGACGAGGGAGGNGG
rnacentral:rRNA from 1 species